UAGGUACGGUAACUCAUUCAUUUCACCCAUUCGAAAUGCUGACUUUAAACGAGACUGUUGAAACCCCUGUACAAUCAUCUUGUUCUUCAGUAGCCUGCCGCGAUUUAAAAACUUGCCCUACGCAUGUGACGCAUAAAUCGUAUUGCGGAAUUUUAUCGCGAACUGCGCGCCGUAAUUGAUUGAGAGUUAUUUAUAGAGUUCUGUCCUUGCGAAUCAUUUUCUUUGAGAUUAAAAAAUAUGCAAAAUAAUGUAUUUAAGUUUCAGAUACAAUUUAAUAUUAGUAUUUUGUGUUUAUAACAAUAGUCCAGGUAAUUAAGAAAUUUAUAAAUUAUGUUUGAUUACUUGGAAUAUUAAAACCGGUUUGUCGGCUUAUUUAUAACUCACUCACUAUAUGUGCACGCUCUUCAUUCUGACGCCGCCCUUCACACAGUUCACAGGGUGUUCGAAUAGAGUUCGGGGUAACACAUUUUUAAUAUUGAAUACCUCUUUGUUCCGGUGAGACGGGUUUAAUUGGGUGUGGCACUGCCAUACAAUUGGGGUAUGUUAUUGAUGUAUUUGUGUUUAUUUUUUCCAUAAUAUUCAUGACAAUGUCUUUGUUGACUGAGUAUUUGAUAUGUUGUAUAUUUUUGGAAAGAAACAAUAUUUAUUGUGUUUUAUUUCUUUUCCUUGUAAUAGCUCAUUGCCAAUUUGUAUAUAUAAUAAAAAUAGUGACAUUGAA